UGAGGAAUCUGUCCAUCGGCGGGGGAUAGCCGGCCCAACGGCCGGGUAAUACCGCGUACGUCGGCGGGAGCGCAUGCUCCUGCCGGGAAAGCAGCAAUGCACCGAUGGAGGAUCUCGCGGCCUAUCAGCUUUGUUGGUGAGGUCACGGCUCACCAAGGCGACGACGGGUAGCUGGUCUGAGAGGAUGAUCAGCCACAGUUGGGACUGGAAGACACCGGCACGUACCG
rnacentral:rRNA from 1 species